CAAAAAUCAAAAUUAAAAACUCGAAACUAAGACAGAAUGAAAAUAUCUUGUAACGGCAUCAUUUUUAAAUGAAUAGAAUUUAUGAAGAUGAUGUAUUUUCACCAAAAAUAUUACAUUACCAUCCAGACCAUCAAAUAAUAGUGUUAGGAAACUAAGAAAUAACUUGGCCACAGUACAACACAUAUAUUCAGUUUACACUUCAUAUUAUGUUAAAGUGUUGUUUGAAAGUGUUACUAAGUAUACAUUUGUGUAAAGUAUUGAAAGAAUGAGACAAAUUCAGAAAACUGUUUUUUCCUUGACAUCUAAGAAUUUGCAC